rnacentral:rRNA from 1 species
UACGUAGGGGGCAAGCGUUGUUCGGAAUUACUGGGCGUAAAGGGCGCGUAGGCGGCCUGGCAAGUCGGGAGUGAAAGCCCGGGGCUCAACCCCGGAGGGUCUCUCGAAACUGCCAAGCUAGAGUGCGGAAGAGGCAACUGGAAUUCCCAGUGUAGCGGUGAAAUGCGUAGAUAUUGGGAAGAACACCGGAGGCGAAGGCGGGUUGCUGGGCCGACACUGACGCUGAGGCGCGAAAGCCAGGGGAGCAAACGGG